rnacentral:rRNA from 1 species
GACGUAGGGCGCGAGCGUUGUCCGGAUUUAUUGGGCGUAAAGAGCUCGUAGGCGGCUUGUUGCGUCGACUGUGAAAACCCGCGGCUUAACUGCGGGCUUGCAGUUGAUACGGGCAGGCUAGAGUUCGGUAGGGGAGACUGGAAUUCCUGGUGUAGCGGUGAAAUGCGCAGAUAUCAGGAGGAACACCGGUGGCGAAGGCGGGUCUCUGGGCAAUUCCUGACGCUGAGGCGCGAAAGCGUGGGGAGCAAACGGG